ensembl:lncRNA
CUUUAAAUAAUUUAUUUAAUAAAAAUCACAUGUAGCAGUAUCAAAUGAGCAAGAAGCAAAAAUAUCCUUUAAAUUGGUUUAAAAAGAAACAUAUUUGAGAGAAUGUUAUCUGACACAUAGUUUUUAAGUUUUCUUACUUUAAGGUCAUGUCAGUCUAACAAAGAACACAACUUGCUAAUAAAAUUACUAUAAAUGGUGAGACAAAAAGAAACAAAAGGGUGUCAGUGGAUAGAAAAGAAAGAACAGCAACGAAAGAAUUGAGGAAUGCUUUGAUAAUGUUUGGGUAAUAAAUUAUUAGGAUGCUCAUCAAAAUAACUAGAAAAGCAUUGCUCUCAGUAAAGUACUACCAGAUUACCAAAUAGGUACCAGACAAAAGUGCUAACAGGUGCAUAACCAGCAUUCCAGUUUGCUCCAGCAAUGCAUCUUCACCUUGAUAAAUAGCACCCAAAUACCCACAGCGUAUUUUCUUCAGAGUUUCCUAAUAUAGCAGUUAUACCACCUUGUGGGGUGUGCAGUGGACAUAAUUAAAACAGAGCUACGAGAGUGUGCGUUGUAUUAUAUUAUAUACUGUGUAUCUGCAAAUUAUCCAUGGAACAAUUUAUUAGUUCCAACAGGAUCUACCCUUCCCAUUAGAGAGCACAGGGACUUCAAAUGUAAAGAACAGAUUCACUGGAAAGUUUAAUCAGACAUUUGGAGGCCUAAAAGAUCUCUAUUACAUUAUUUAUUACUGUGUGUUAUGCAAUUAAAUGUAUGUUAAAUAUGACAUGAGGAGGACAGAUUCCAGCUCCACUUUCAGAUACAUCUUUGGAGAAAAAAAGGUCUAGUCUGUAAACUGAGCUGAUUAACUGUAAUAGAGACGUUCCAGCGAUGGAGGGAUUACGUAUGCUCAGUUCCAGUGCUAGCAGUCAGAACACAGCUGCACUUUUGACCUCUGCCUCAGUUUCUCUGUGUAAAGGAUCCUGAGAUCUUACGAUAAAAAGACACUUUAAAAUAUUAUUACGAUUAAAAAUUAAAUUUUUCAGUGAAGCUUUUGAGGAAAGCACCUUAGGAAAUCUCUUCCUACUCCAUAUACGUUACACCAUGAUGGAUACACUAAAAUAGGAAAAAACGGAGGAAAAGCUUUGGAGAAUAUACAGGUGAUUUCACUGCACUCAUUUUUUCCUUUUUCAUGUAGACAUUCAUCUUUCACAAGAAAACAAGCUUCUCAGGACAUACUGGAUAGGAAAAAGCCCUAGUCAUACAUGCUUAGUUUCAAAGCUAUGGUACUACUCAGAGAGAGAAAUCAACGUAUACUAUAUUAGAAACAAUCGUCACAGCUCUUUAAAUGAUUGGAUAGUUUAGCUUUGAAUGCAAUUCAACCUAAUAGAGGCUUUAAUGGCUUUUGACAGAUUGUUCCACUGAUCAAGGGACAUGUAUGAAAAUAACUGCCUACCAAGCCCUGAUUUGAUUUUAAGAAAAGAAAACUGAAGGUUAAUGGUAAACAGAAGUUGAUUGUUCACAUUUUCACUGAAAUAACUCUAUCUGACCUGUUCUUAGAACCAGUGAAAUAAAGGAUAAUGGGAAUCCUAUACACCUGACUUUUUACUUUAGCCUCUAAUCAAGGGGACUAAUCAGACCAAGAUGUGUUGGCAUGAAAGCAAGUAUUUGACAAUACGGAGGGGGAGGAGAACAACUUUUGUGACCAAAUCCUGAUUCAUCAUGGAGAAGCACUGUAAAACCAGUGGAGUAUUAGAGGAUGUAAACCAUAGCAUUAUAUGUCCUUUUCUAUCGAGUGAAUUAUGAAUGCUAUCUCCAAAGAAACAAGAAGAUAAAUCAUAGUUUUCAUGUCGUGUGAAGUGCUCACACCCAAACAUGAGCAUUUUAAUGUGAUAAUUUUAUCAGUUAUUUGUUGGCUUUUAUUUGACACGUUAUUCAGCCAGAUCUGCAGCCUUACUAAGCAGAGUCUUUCUGCAAUUGUAUAAAUUAUCUUCUCUUGUUCAGUGAAUGCCCCCAGGCUAAGGUGAAGAGGACAGAUGAAUACAAAUUAAGAUACAAGCCCAGCCACAUUGAAGGUGAUGAGUCUCAGUUCAGACUGGAAAAAGAGUGGUGGUUCUAUUCAGAAUUGUCUCUGCCCUUACAGGUGGGGUGAUGUGAUGGCCAGAAUUGGGUAGGUUGGGAGUCUUCAGAAACACUGAAUGUUGGUGGUUUUGCCUGAGUAUUUCGUCACUACCUAACAGCUUCCACGUUUUAAUGCUAG